rnacentral:lncRNA from 1 species
CUUGAAAUGCACCAGUUUGGUGAGGCUGUCUGGCCAAUGUGCUCCAAGGACCUACAGGCAGUUUCACUUUGUAGCCCAAACUGGUCUGGAACUCAAUGUUAUCUAUCCUCCUGUAUCGGACUCCCGUGCCCACUGGCUUCCUUCUCUUCCAUGCUCUGGUGGAAGAGCAUGUGGCAGACUUUGUUCACAUUAAGGCAGAAGCAGAGAGGAACAGGAACCAAGGGGCCUCAUUCCAUAUCCUUGGCUGUCAAGAACUUACUGUGUAGACCAGGCUGGACUCACAGCCUCUGCCUCUGUCUCCUGAGUGCUGGGUUUAAAGGCAUAUGCCACCACUGCCCGGAAAACUCCAUAUCCUCUUAAGACAGUGUCAUCAGCUGGAGACCAUGCAUUAAAGUAUGAGCCUUCAGGGGACAUUUCAGGUUCAAAUCAUGACUGAUGGACAAAGACCGGGAGGGCAGGCCUCCAUAUCUCCUCUAUAGAGUAGCACCUGAGCCUUCUAUGUAGCAGACUGGUUAUCUUCCUAGUGACACAGGAAAGGCUACACUGCCUGCCAAGUGCCUCCCCUGAGCAUUCUGAUUCAGUUAGUCUGGGGAUAGUAUCUUGACCUGUGGAUACUUCUAAAGUUCCCUGUGUUACAGGGAGCUCACCAGAGAUGAACACUCAGACACAGUGUUUAGCCAAUAGAAGGCCUUUAUUCCAACCAGCUGGGACCACACCCAAGUGUCCCAGGACCUGAGUUUAGCCUCGAAUGUUCAAGCCCUGCUUUUUGUUUUGUUUUGUU